UUACGUUAACUAGCUGUCACAAAUAUGUCUCUGUCAGUGCAGAUUCCAACCUGCCACAGCUUUUUAUUUAUUAGCAAGUGGGAAUGGCAUGUUAUUGUUUAAUUAUGUAAUGACAACUGACAAAUGUAACUUACCGUAAUGAAACGUUACAAUGAAUGCAUGAUUCACACUGAAGGAUAAUGUAAUAACGUUUUAAUUAGGACUGGCAUAAUGUUACGUUAGCUAUUGUAAACGCCAGACAGACUUUGAUAAGUUACAAAUGGAAAAUAAAACGUAACGUUUUGCAAGCUGCCGCCCUUUACUCAAUUAGCUUAGCUUAACUCAUGAGAGGUUGAGUUGAAAAAUAAAAUUAUUAUUUUACCUUUAGUGAAAGCUAUAAAGCUGAAUGUCAAUCAUCGUAGAUAUAUUUUGCGGGACAUUAUCCAGACUGUCUGCUUCCAAACGAGCUUGACAUUAUGACGUAUCUCCGACAAAGUAAAACUGUUAUUGGUCGAUGUCGCCUCUGCGCCAUGAAUGAUUCAUCCAGUGAGGGUACAGCAUUCUAACUAUACUAACAACUAUUUGAAAAUGCGUGCACUUUCUUGAUUUCUGAAGCACAGAGACUAAAGAGACAAUUUUAAAUUCUUGUAUUUUCAAUCAUUUUAAGGUUUUACAUCCCUUCACCCCCAGAUUACCAAAGAUGUAGUUGAUGCUACAGAAACAUUUGUUGAAUUGUUCAGUCCUAACAUCACUUCCCAAUCUUUCAUACAUUGCUCAGUUAUUUAAAUUUAAUAAAUAUAGCAUACCAUUGUAAAGCUUUAUUCAUAUUGUGGUCCCCCUUGUGCUUAUUCACCUUAUAUUACCUCAGCCUAUGAAAAGCUCCAUCUAAAGCUAUUAUGUUUUUGACAUUUUUUGACAUUUUUGAUAUUUUCUCAAAUAAGAAUAUGUGUUGGUUGCACAUUUCAAUAUGACAAAAAAGGAAAAGCACACACAAUUGGGAAACGCAGGAGACAUGAUGAAGAAGGGACAUCACAGUAGACAUGACCUUAAUAAGAGGGGAUACACUUUAAACGGGCAGCAGCCAUAGACUGUAUAUUAAAAGGCAGCAGCAUACAGUUCAAGAUUAUUGUUAUAUUCGUUACAGGAUAUUAUCAAGAAACAUCUGACACUAAACAUAACAAUUAGAAAGUAGAACAUGUAACUUUACAUGUAGAGGCAUCUGUGGCAUUUCUGUACAGGCGCAUCAGUGCAGGAUUGAGUGAAGAUGGGUGCUGCGACCGGUUACACUCUAGGCGAAUAGGUUAGGUUUGGUAGCGUGCAAGUUAGGCAGGCAGGGGACUGGUUUGCAUGUAUGAUUUUCCAUCCCUUAUAAAAGUGUAGCAUAGCUGUGGGACAGGCAAUCAUUUUAAUGCAUUAAUGUUACACUUCAAUGAAACAAACCUCGCUUAGGCCAUAUGUGCAUAAUGCCUGUAUAACCAUUGUCUUUGUAAAUAGCAGUGUAAUUUCAGAUGUUGAUCAGAUCACAGAGGUUUGUAUACACUGGUGUGCAUGAAUAUUCACAUGUUCCAUCCCCCAUAGGGGUAAAAUUCAUAUCUACUGAUGGUUUUAGCUGUCUGCAUGACAUAAGCAGGAAAAAGCAUCAGAAGCCAGAGGGGACACAGUAUAAUUUUUAGUCCAACAUCUGAAAUAGACUGACUGCUAACAUGGCAGGUUUGCUCAGGCUGCAGGCUGCCCCGCUUUCUGUGGCGGCUCACUUGAUCCCUCUAUUACAACCUGCAUGAAGUCGAAAAUAUAAGAAUUAAUGUCACUGGGGUGACGGGUGUGUGUGUGUGUGUGUGUGUGAGAUUUGGAGCAGCGUAGGGUCACGCCCCCUCGUUAGUGGUGAAUGGCUACCGGUGUGGGUGUGGGAAGUCUGUUGCCAGGUCUUCCUUUAUAAGGAGACGGGAGAAACACAGGAGGGACGCGGAAGCAGGGAAGAAUUGGACCGUGGGACCGAGAACGGCAGUGACGCCAGAGGAAAGAAGCCGGAGGAACAUGGUGGUCACCACAGACGACGGUAACGUUAGACGGAGAGUCGACGUAGACAGAGACGAGACAGGGACCGAGGUAGACUUCGGAAGAGAGUCCACCGUACUCCAGAGUAACCCUUUGGUUAGAUACAGCGGCCCGGAGCCAAGAGGAGACGUCUCAGAGUAUCUGGAGUAAGAAGCGACCUUUGUGGAGACACAAGGAGGGGUUGGAAUUCAUUCCCCCCCUCCUUCCCUGUUGCUGCUGGCCACUGCCGAGAGGAGGAACGAGCAUCGAGAGCAGUGGAAGAGAGGCGGCGGGCCGAUGGACUGAUAAACGGGGAUUUUUUUAAGAAUAACUACUGAGUUUAUUAUAAAUGACUGAGAACUCUUUUUAUCAUUUUAGGUCUUUUAAUUGUGUUUGUGUUCAUUGUUUUUAAUUUAAGGUUCACUGGUUUUAUAAACAGUACUGGUCUGA